rnacentral:rRNA from 1 species
UACGGGGGGGGCAAGCGUUGUUCGGAAUUACUGGGCGUAAAGGGCGCGUAGGCGGCCUUCUAAGUCGGACGUGAAAUCCCUCGGCUUAACCGAGGAACUGCGUCCGAUACUGAAAGGCUUGAAUCCGGGAGAGGGAUGCAGAAUUCCAGGUGUAGCGGUGAAAUGCGUAGAUAUCUGGAGGAAUACCGGUGGCGAAGGCGGCAUCCUGGACCGGCAUUGACGCUGAGGAGCGAAAGCCAGGGGAGCAAACGGG